rnacentral:lncRNA from 1 species
GGAAAUAGAGGAGUAAUGGGGAACAAAUGAAAAUUCAAUAAAACACACCCAAAACCUCUAAUUUCAAUCCACUUCUUGACUCCACCGUUCAUUUUUUUUUCUUUCCUUGUCUUGUCUCUUUUUCUUCUCUUUUUUUUAGAACAUAAACUGUAAGAGGCAAGAUUCAAAACAUAUUUUAAACAACAAGCAAUAGAGGAACCAAGAAAACCAACUAUAGCCAAUUCAUAAGAAUGUAAUGAAGACCACAC